AAGUCGAGCGAGAAUCUGUGGAUUGAGGCUUCGGCCGAUUGAAGCAGAGGAAAGCGGCGAAAGGGAGAGUAACACGUAGAUACGUACCCUUGGGUUCGGAAUAGCGGGGGGAAACCGCCGGUAAUGCCGAAUGAUGUCUCCGGACCAAAGAUUUAUCGCCCAAGGAGCGGUCUGCGUCCUAUUAGGUUGUUGGUGGGGUAAUGGCUCACCAAGCCAAAGAUGGGUAGCGGGCGUGAGAGCGUGGCCCGCCUCACUGGGACUGAGACACUGCCCAGACACCUACGGGUGGCUGCAGUCGAGAAUCUUCCGCAAUGGACGCAAGUCUGACGGAGCGACGCCGCGUGCGGGAUGAAGGCCUUCGGGUUGUAAACCGCUGUCAGAGGGGAGCAAAUUUUGAGCGAUCCUCAAAGGAAGUGCAGGCUAAGUUCGUGCCAGCAGCCGCGGUAAUACNAACUGCACAAACGUUAUUCGGAAUCACUGGGCUUUAAAGAGUCCGUAGGCGGAUUGGUAAGUCNGGUGUGAAAUCCCACGGCUCACCCGUGGAAUUGC
rnacentral:rRNA from 1 species